rnacentral:lncRNA from 1 species
GUAUGCCGGUGAUGAGGAAGGAAAAGGAGGGAUUUAUAAUUUUGUUACUAAGCGUGGACUUUGUGCUGGAGAUCGUUCGAAGAUAUCCUGGACCCAAGUGGAGACGGGGUCUGCAAUUACUUGGAAGUACCCAAGUGUUGUUUUGGAAGGUGAUGAUACGGUGGGCGAGUUUUACUCUGUAGCACUCACAAAUAACUAUCAGCAGGCAGACACGGGUACAAAAAUGAUACACAAAGGGAAGAAUACAAGAAGUAGGAUUAUCUCGAAGGGUAUUUCUGUUGGACAUUCAAGAAACUGUUAUAGGGGGCUUGUUCAGGUUCAAUCAAAAGCAGAGAAUGCUAGAAAUUCAUCACAAUGUGAUUCAAUGCUUAUCGGCGACAAUGCCGCUGCAAACA